UACGGGGGGGGCAAGCGUUGUUCGGAAUUACUGGGCGUAAAGGGCUCGUAGGCGGCCAACUAAGUCAGACGUGAAAUCCCUCGGCUUAACCGGGGAACUGCAUCUGAUACUGGAUGGCUUGAGUUCGGGAGAGGGAUGCGGAAUUCCAGGUGUAGCGGUGAAAUGCGUAGAUAUCUGGAGGAACACCUGUGGUGUAGACGGCUUUCUGGACCAUAGCUGACGCUGAGACACGGAAGCGUGGGUAGCAAACAGG
rnacentral:rRNA from 1 species